AGCUUGCUCCCUGAUGUUAGCGGCGGACGGGUGAGUAACACGUGGGUAACCUGCCUGUAAGACUGGGAUAACUCCGGGAAACCGGGGCUAAUACCGGAUGGUUGUUUGAACCGCAUGGUUCAGACAUAAAAGGUGGCUUCGGCUACCACUUACAGAUGGACCCGCGGCGCAUUAGCUAGUUGGUGAGGUAACGGCUCACCAAGGCAACGAUGCGUAGCCGACCUGAGAGGGUGAUCGGCCACACUGGGACUGAGACACGGCCCAGACUCCUACGGGAGGCAGCAGUAGGGAAUCUUCCGCAAUGGACGAAAGUCUGACGGAGCAACGCCGCGUGAGUGAUGAAGGUUUUCGGAUCGUAAAGCUCUGUUGUUAGGGAAGAACAAGUGCCGUUCAAAUAGGGCGGCACCUUGACGGUACCUAACCAGAAAGCCACGGCUAACUACGUGCCAGCAGCCGCGGUAAUACGUAGGUGGCAAGCGUUGUCCGGAAUUAUUGGGCGUAAAGGGCUCGCAGGCGGUUUCUUAAGUCUGAUGUGAAAGCCCCCGGCUCAACCGGGGAGGGUCAUUGGAAACUGGGGAACUUGAGUGCAGAAGAGGAGAGUGGAAUUCCACGUGUAGCGGUGAAAUGCGUAGAGAUGUGGAGGAACACCAGUGGCGAAGGCGACUCUCUGGUCUGUAACUGACGCUGAGGAGCGAAAGCGUGGGGAGCGAACAGGAUUAGAUA
rnacentral:rRNA from 1 species